rnacentral:sRNA from 1 species
AAGGGGGACUGUUAACAGCAUAGGAUUGAGGAGCUGGAAGAGACCUUUAGAACAGCUGGUCGUUAUGCUGACCAGAUGUCUGCACUAAGUUCAGCAUCAAUAUUGUAACCUCCUAGAAGUGGGGGGCCACCAGGUUGCCUAAGGAUGGGUGAACUGGUCCAGGUCAGAAAGGGAGCAGGUCAGAACUCCCGCACCGACUGCUAGUGGGACUGUGCCUGGGCCAUAUGGCAAGAUCUUGGUUCUUAAAAGUAAAAAUAAAGAACAGCAGCUCAUUCCCU